UACGUAGGCAGCGAGCGUUGUUCGGAGUUACUGGGCGUAAAGCGUGCGUAGGCGGUUUUGUAAGUUUGGUGUGAAAUCUCCCGGCUUAACUGGGAGGGUGCGCCGGAAACUGCAAGGCUGGAGUGUGGGAGAGGUAGGCGGAAUUCCUGGUGUAGCGGUGAAAUGCGUAGAUAUCAGGAGGAACACCUGUGGUGUAGACGGCUUACUGGACCAUGACUGACGCUGAGGCGCGAAAGCGUGGGGAGCAAACAGG
rnacentral:rRNA from 1 species